rnacentral:tRNA from 1 species
UAGCUCAGUUGGUAGAGUACUUGCCUCAUAUGCACAAGGCCCUGGGUUCAAUCCCCAG